CCCCCACACAUGACCUCAGGUACCUGGAAUAAUCUGUUAGUGCCUUCUCCAAACGACCUCAACUGACAGAUUAAUUUUUGAUGGUCUCAAUCCCUGUUUCUUAAAACUGUGAGUGAGAGGAAAAGAAUGUCUUCCUAUUAGAAGGUGACUUUUUGUUUUGUUUUGUUAUUCUACUUUUUUAAACAGUUUGUCAAAAAGAGCUUAUACAUGGAACAAUGGGACACAGAGGUUGAAAUUCCAGGAGCUUGGGAAUCUUAGAGUCCUGGACUUCCAGUCAAGAUGGUGGCUUAGAAGCAGCGAAAGUUCAGACCUUGGAAACCCUUCCUUACCGAUCGCAAACUGAGUGCUCCCAGGACACUGAAAUUCAAGCUGAACAACAGAACAGACCAGGGGAACCCUCCUCCCGGACCUGGAUCAAAAGGCAUUUCUACAUUAUCAUGCAAUAAACUGAGGACUCUGAUGUUGAAGUACAAAUGUGGUAACUACUUUUUCAUCAAUGGAUUUUCUAUAAAUUGUAUACAUGCUUUACAUUUUUUGCCUUUAAGGCUCCACAUUCUUAAAUUUUCUUGAGGUGAUUUUGCCCAAUUGAUCCAAGUCUCUUGCCAAGUUAUUUGUGGACUUAGCUUUUUUUUUUUACUAUAUUCUUCUUACAUUAUUUUACAAGGUGAAGCUCCUCACUGUCAUCUAUCAUUUUCCUCUGUAAGAUUUUACAUGAAUUUGUUAAAUAAACUGAUAUUCCUUUUGGCUUCCA
rnacentral:lncRNA from 1 species